GCUUGCUUUCAAAAUAACUUAGCGGCGGACGGGUGAGUAACACGUAGGCAACCUGCCCUUCAGACUGGGAUAACUACCGGAAACGGUAGCUAAUACCGGAUAAUUUCUUUUUUCUCCUGAGAGAAGAAUGAAAGACGGAGCAAUCUGUCACUGAGGGAUGGGCCUGCGGCGCAUUAGCUAGUUGGUGGGGUAACGGCCCACCAAGGCGACGAUGCGUAGCCGACCUGAGAGGGUGAACGGCCACACUGGGACUGAGACACGGCCCAGACUCCUACGGGAGGCAGCAGUAGGGAAUCUUCCGCAAUGGGCGAAAGCCUGACGGAGCAACGCCGCGUGAGUGAUGAAGGUUUUCGGAUCGUAAAGCUCUGUUGCCAGGGAAGAACGUCCGGUAGAGUAACUGCUACCGGAGUGACGGUACCUGAGAAGAAAGCCCCGGCUAACUACGUGCCAGCAGCCGCGGUAAUACGUAGGGGGCAAGCGUUGUCCGGAAUUAUUGGGCGUAAAGCGCGCGCAGGCGGCUAUUUAAGUCUGGUGUUUAAACCUUGGGCUCAACCUGAGGUCGCACUGGAAACUGGGUGGCUUGAGUACAGAAGAGGAAAGUGGAAUUCCACGUGUAGCGGUGAAAUGCGUAGAUAUGUGGAGGAACACCAGUGGCGAAGGCGACUUUCUGGGCUGUAACUGACGCUGAGGCG
rnacentral:rRNA from 1 species